CCAGCCUGCCAGUGACUACAAGUUCAACGGCCGCGGUAUUUUGACCGUGCAAAGGUAGCGCAAUCACUUGUCUUUUAAAUAGAGACCUGUAUGAAUGGCUAAACGAGGGCUUAACUGUCUCCCCUUUCCAGUCAGUGAAAUUGAUCUGCCCGUGCAGAAGCGGACAUAAAAAUACAAGACGAGAAGACCCUUUGGAGCUUAAGGUACAAAACUCAACCACGUCAAGCAACUUAAUAAAAAGCAAAAACUUUGUGGAACAUGAGAUUUUACCUUCGGUUGGGGCGACCACGGAGGAAAACAAAGCCUCCAAGUGGAUUGGGAAAACCUCCUAAAACCAAGAGAGACAUCUCUAAGCCACAGAACAUCUGACCAAACAUGAUCCGGCUGCCCGAAGCCGAUCAACGAACCAAGUUACCCUAGGGAUAACAGCGCAAUCCUCUCCCAGAGUCCAUAUCGACGAGGGGGUUUACGACCUCGAUGUUGGAUCAGGACAUCCUAAUGGUGCAGCCGCUAUUAAGGGUUCGUUUGUUCAACGAUUAAAGUCCUACGUGAUCUGAGUUC
rnacentral:rRNA from 1 species